CACGUAGGGCGCAAGCGUUGUCCGGAAUUAUUGGGCGUAAAGGGCUCGUAGGUGGCCAACUAAGUCAGACGUGAAAUCCCUCGGCUUAACCGGGGAACUGCGUCUGAUACUGGAUGGCUUGAGUUUGGGAGAGGGAUGCGGAAUUCCAGGUGUAGCGGUGAAAUGCGUAGAUAUCUGGAGGAACACCGGUGGCGAAGGCGGCAUCCUGGACCAACACUGACACUGAGGAGCGAAAGCCAGGGGAGCAAACGGG
rnacentral:rRNA from 1 species